rnacentral:rRNA from 1 species
UACAGAGGUCCCGAGCGUUGUUCGGAUUUACUGGGCGUAAAGGGUGCGUAGGCGGUUGGGUAAGUCUGAUGUGAAAUCCCCGGGCCCAACCCGGGAACUGCAUUAGAAACUGCCUGGCUGGAGGGUUGGAGGGGGGACUGGAAUUCCCGGUGUAGCAGUGAAAUGCGUAGAUAUCGGGAGGAACGCCAGUGGCGAAGGCGAGUCCCUGGACAACACCUGACGCUGAGGAACGAAAGCUAGGGGAGCAAACAGG